GUCUGGGUUAUUUCAGAGGUUCCUGGGCACACAGUUGCUUUUGGACCCUAGCUCUGGUUGGUGCCUGUGCUGCUGAGCUGCAUCUGUGCUGUGGAGGGCUCUGUAACACAGCAGGGAGCUGUGUCCCAAAGAGAGAAGCCCAACAUGAAGCAAGAGAAAAUGAGGAGCAAGGGGCUGCAGAGAGCUCUUCAAGCCCUGAAGGAAGAAGAGAGGCUGUCCUGCACCAGCAUCCUUCUUCAGCUGACCUUCCAAAGAAGAUCUGCACAACUUUGUUCCUCAGCUGGAUCAGACGUACCCGUGCCAGAGCAGGAUGGACCAGCUGGAGCUCCAGGCACAGCUCUUGGUUCACAGAGCUGAGCCUGUGGAAGCUCCAGCAGCUCCUGCCAUCUCUUUCCCUGUUGGCAGCUCCCUCCCUGCAACCCUCAGGCCCUGCCCAUCCUCUCUUUACCUCUCAGCUCACCCCUUCCCUUCACUUUCCCUUAAUAAACAGUUUGGGUUUUUCACUUGACCUGCGUCUCCGUGGAGCUGAAGCGGCACAAAUCCUGAGCCUGGGGACACACAGGGCCGUGCUGCAUUCCAGGCAUGGACAGAGAGGAACAAGGGCAGCUGUGGCUGCAAAGGUCCCUGUCCUGCUGCUCCAGCUGCACAGCAGCGUGGAGUUAAAGGUCGUGCCAAGCACGCUGAAGGGGACAAGGACCCUGGGUUUUAGAAGAGCCAACUAGAGUGUGCUGUGAAGCCAGCCGUUUCCAUUCCAGGGUUUCCAUUUCAGCACAUGCUAUCAGCUUUCUGUAUUGUUGGGCUCCCCAUAAGGCAAUCUUCCUCCUUUUUCCACCAAGCCUCUAAUACCUCUAGACAGUUGCCCAGAAAUAAGUGUAAAAUUCUCUCUUCAAUUCUAUGGUUUCAGUCAAUUCUUACAAAUGCUUCCUAGUAGAAGGAAUCCUAAUCACUGUCCUUCUGCUCUCCUGUUAUCAUUCUUUUCCUGGGAAGUUGCACUCACUGCAUAAAAGAAGAGGCAGUCCAUGGGAAAGGAUAGUCUUUUUCUUUGUCAGCUAAAACUAUAACAGCCCAAUGCUAGGACUGGUGGUAAAGUGUUCUGCAUUUCCAACUACUGCCUCUUAGUAUGUUGCUGUUUUUUUGUAUAUGCAUCACAUACACAAUACAUAUGGAUUUUAAGAAUUGCAUAAACUGCGUUCACAAAGUGGUAGAGCAGACAAAUGAUUUCCCCAGGACACCUGCCUGAGGUUUCUAAGCAGAAUUUUAUUUUACCUUCUGCAUCUUUGAGCUUGUUUUCAGAUAGUUUGCAAUAUGUAAUAAAUUUGCUAGGACUGCUAUGAAAGCUCUUGGUAAACACCUUGGUCAGGGAAAACUUGGCAAUCUACUAUCUGCCUUUAGGGCAAGACCUAUAUACUGGAGUCUUUUCUUUCUCUAUGUCACCUUUACAAAGAUAACUAAGUCCCAUCUUAAAAGUCCUUCCUAUGGAAAGCACCCCAAUGGUAAUACACCUUCCUUAUGGAACUCCCUCUGUCACCAAGUAGACCAAGUGCUGGGGUGCCAGAAGCUGUGUACAUCCAGGGUUAAAUACUCUAUUUUUCACUUGCAUUAGGUAGGAAGGCCAGAUGCAGCAUCUCACCAGCAUCAGCAAGCCUGACCAUAUCUACUUCCAAACUACUUCAGGUGUCUCCACAAAUCAGUGUCAAGCAUAGCACAGCUCAGCUCUGUGCUUCAAAGACAGAGCAGUUGGUUUUAAUCUACAAGUAAAAUAAUAUUAAUGAAGAAAGAAAAUAAAAAAGACAGCUUUUCUUCCAGC